rnacentral:rRNA from 1 species
CACAAUGGGCGCUAGCCUGAAGGAGCAACGCCGCGUGCAGGAAGAAAGUCUUCAGAUUAUAAACUUUUUUUCUCUGUGAAGAUUUUGACGGUAGCAGAGGAAUAAGGGUUUGCUAAAUACGUGCCCGCAGCCGCGGUCAUACGUAGGACCCCAGCCUUAUCCGGAAUUACUGGGCGUAAAGAGUUGCGUAGGUGGCAGAGUAAUUCCGUAGUGAAAGUGUGGGGUUCAACCACAAACCCCUUAGGGAAAGUCCUCAGUUAGAGGACGGAAGGGGUUUUGGGAAUUCCCAGUGUAGGAGUGAAAUCCGUAGAUAUUGGGGGGAACACCGAAGGGGUAGGCAGCAAACUGGUUCCUUCCUGACACAAGGCACGAAAGCGU